AUUGCGGGGAUGGAAGAGCUGGGCAGACGGGCCUCAGGGAGGGACAACUGAUUUCAGGACGAUGCGGGAGGACACGCCAGUUGAACCCCAGGGAGCCUGGGGCUAGAAUCCUGGUGGAAUCCCAAGUGGCGAGGGGCCCCAAGAACUAGGCAAAGCAGGAAGACCCGGAGGAAGGGCCAUCUGGCCCUCGUCUUCACGUGCGGGGCGUGGACCCGUCUUGCAGGAGGAAGAAAGGGGCUCUGGAAUCAGAGCUUGGUUUAAGGUCCUCCUUUAUGCGGGAUCCCUCGUGCCCCCAGACUCAGGUGAGCCUCCAGGGCGGCAGAGGCUCAGCUCCGAGCAUCAGGGCGCCCCGACCAGGAAGGCCCCAGCAGGCCACUCCCACAGACCCUGGGCCUUUGACUCCUCAGAAUGCCACCCAUCAGCCGGUAACCGUCCCCUGAAGCCGUCCCCUGAAGCGAGGCCAUCCCACCCAGGGCCCCAGCUCAGCUGGAAUCUGCCCAGCUGGCUGCUGGGAGCCUGC